rnacentral:misc_RNA from 1 species
UCCGGUUUGUCACCGGCAGUCUCACAUGAGUCUCCAACUUAAUGCUGGCAACAUGCGACGGGGGUUGCGCUCGUUGCGGGACUUAACCCGACAUGCCACCACACGAGCUGACGACAGCCAUGCAGCACCUGUCUCUUUGUCGUAUUGCUACGAAAGCUACAUCUCUGUAGUUGUCAAAGGAUGUCAAACCUAGGUAAGGUUCUGCGCGUUGCUUCGAAUUAAACCACAUAAUCCACCGCUUGUGCGGGCUCCCGUCAAUUCCUUUGAGUUUUAGUCUUGCGACCGUACUUCCCAGGCGGGGUACUUAUCGCGUUAGCUCCGGCUCCGCAGGGGUCAACUCCCACGAAGCCUAGUACCCAUCGUUUACAGCGUGGACUAC